rnacentral:lncRNA from 1 species
GAUUGGUCUGACCCCUCCGAGCAAGCAGAGCUGCCUGUAGAGGGGCCUUAGCAGGAAAGCACUCAACACAUUUUCGUGGUAGACCUAGUGGAGCCUGACGUGUAUGAAUAACUCAUAACUGGAGCCUGGCUAGUGAGGAGCUCAGAGCUGGCUUUGAAAACACCCUAGGGGUUCUCUCCGAGUGGCACGCUGAAAUGUGGCCACACCGGUUCAGGCUAUUUUAAGCUUCAGAAGCGAAGGGAGGCGAGAUGGGAAGAAACCAAGGCUCAGGGAAAGUAAGUACCUUGUCCAAGGGCCCAAGGAGACACAGCGGAGCUGGGAUUUGAAACCAGAUGGGAAAACUGAAGCUUGAAGAACUUAACAAAUCUGCCCGAGGACAUGCAAGGACAUGUAGUCAUCGCCAGCAGUGCCCAGACGGAACCCAGACCCUCUCCCUCCACGGCCCGGAUUCCUGCCUUUAUACUGAGCGCAGAUUUUAGUUCUCUGAAACCAUACCACAGGCUCUCGUGGGACACCUACUCCAAUCCCUCCUCAUUUUACACUGAGAAAACUGAGGCUCUCAAAGCUUGGGUGACUUGCUCAAGGUCACAUAGCUAAUGGCUGCAUGGGCCGGAAUCCAGAUUCUGGACUCUUCAGCUGUGUGAGCCAGGUGCUGAGGAUCCAGAAAUGAGUCAAACAGGGUCCCUGCUUUCCAGAGCCCACAGUCUAGUGAG